UACGGGGGGGGCAAGCGUUGUUCGGAAUUACUGGGCGUAAAGGGUUCGUAGGUGGCCAACUAAGUCAGACGUGAAAUCCCUCAGCUUAACUGGGGAACUGCGUCUGAUACUGGUUGGCUUGAGUGCAGGAGAGGAACGCGGAAUUCCAGGUGUAGCGGUGAAAUGCGUAGAUAUCUGGAGGAACACCGGUGGCGAAGGCGGCGUUCUGGACUGCAACUGACAAUGAGGAACGAAAGCCAGGGGAGCAAACGGG
rnacentral:rRNA from 1 species